UACAGAGGUCCCAAGCGUUGUUCGGAUUCACUGGGCGUAAAGGGUGCGUAGGCGGUCGGGUAAGUCUGGCGUGAAAUCUCCAAGCCUAACUUGGAAACUGCGUUGGAUACUAUCCGGCUCGAGGAAUGGAGGGGAGACUGGAAUACUUGGUGUAGCAGUGAAAUGCGUAGAUAUCAAGUGGAACACCGGUGGCGAAGGCGAGUCUCUGGACAUUUCCUGACGCUGAGGCACGAAAGCCAGGGGAGCAAACGGG
rnacentral:rRNA from 1 species